rnacentral:rRNA from 1 species
AGUGAACGCUGGCGGCAGGCCUAACACAUGCAAGUCGAGCGGAACGGCGGAAGGGUGAGUAAUUCCUAGGAAUCUACCUGGUAGUGAGGGAUAACGUCCGGAAACGGACGCUAAUACAGCAUACUAUCAGAUGAGCCAAGGUCGGAUUAGCUAGUUGGUGGGUGAAAGGCCUACCAAGGCGACGAUCCGUAACUGGUCUGAGAGGAUGAUCAGUCACACUGGAACUGAGACACGGUCCAGACUCCUACGGGAGGAAGCAGUGGGGAAUAUUGGAAAAUGGGCGAAAGCCUGAUCCAGCCAUGCCGCGUGUGUGAAGAAGGUCUUCGGAUUGUAAAGCACUUUAAGUUGGGAGGCGUUACCAACAGAAUAAGCACCGGCUAACUUCGUGCCAGCAGCCGCGGUAAUAC